rnacentral:rRNA from 1 species
UACGGGGGGGGCAAGCGUUGUUCGGAAUUACUGGGCGUAAAGGGCUCGUAGGCGGCCAACUAAGUCAGACGUGAAAUCCCCAGGCUCAACCUGGGAACUGCGUCUGAUACUGGAUGGCUUGAAUCCGGGAGAGGGAUGCAGAAUUCCAGGUGUAGCGGUGAAAUGCGUAGAUAUCUGGAGGAAUACCGGUGGCGAAGGCGGCAUCCUGGACCGGUACUGACGCUGAUGCGCGAAAGCGUGGGGAGCAAACGGG